rnacentral:rRNA from 1 species
GAGGGAAGACGGUCCUAACGGAUUGUAAACCNCUUUUGUCGGGGAGCAAUAAAGCGUACGCGUACGCAGAUGCGAGUACCCGAAGAAAAAGCAUCGGCUAACUCCGUGCC